rnacentral:rRNA from 1 species
UUUAUAUGAGAGUUUGAUCCUGGCUCAGGAUGAACGCUGGCGGCGUGCCUAAUACAUGCAAGUCGAACGAGUUCUCGUUGAUGAUCGGUGCUUGCACCGAGAUUCAACAUGGAACGAGUGGCGGACGGGUGAGUAACACGUGGGUAACCUGCCCUUAAGUGGGGAUAACAUUUGGAAACAGAUGCUAAUACCGCAUAGAUCCAAGAACCGCAUGGUUCUUGGCUGAAGAUGGC